AUAAAGUUUUAUUUUUACUUAAAAAAAUAGUGUAAUAAGGAAAAUAUAUGUAAAUUUUUUUAAAAAAAUUUAAAUAAUUAUAAUGGAUUACAGUAUAUAAUUUUAAUUAUUAAAGAAAUUUAGAAUUAGUUAUUUUUUAUAGUAUAAACAAAUUUUGUGCCAGCAGUUGCGGUUAUACAUAAUAUACAUCUAUUUUAAAUAAAUUUUUAAAUAAAUUGAUUAUUUUUAUUAAAUUAAAAUUAUAUUAAGUGAAAUUUUAUAGUUUUAAUUAUUAAUUAGAAAUAUUGAAUUAAUAAAUUUAUUGUUAGACUAGGAUUAGAUACCCUAUUAUUAAAAAUGUAAAAUUUAUAAUUAAAUUAGUAUUAGUUAAGUUCUUGAAAAUUAAAAAAUUUGGCGGUAUAAUAGACUAUUUAGAGGAACCUGUUUUUUAAUUGAUAUUCCACGUUUAAUUUUACUUAUUUUAUUAAUUUGUAUAUCGUCGUAGUUGAAUAUUUUUAUAGAAAUUUAAUAUUCAAUUUUUUUUUAAAAAAAAUAAAUCAGAUCAAGAUGCAGUUUAUAAAUAAGAUUUAAUGGGUUACAAUAAAUUUAUUUAAAUGGAUUAAUAAUUUAAUAUAUUAUUAUGAAAGUGGAUUUGAAUGUAAUUUUAAUUAUUUUAUUAAAAUGAUUUAGCUCUAUAAUAUGCACAUAUUGCCCGUCGCUCUCUUUAUAUAUAGAGAUAAGUCGUAACAUAGUAGAGGUACUGGAAAGUGUUUCUAGAUUUAG
rnacentral:ncRNA from 1 species